rnacentral:rRNA from 1 species
UACGUAGGGUGCAAGCGUUUGUCCGGAAUUAUUGGGCGUAAAGAGCUCGUAGGCGGUUCGUCACGUCGGCUGUGAAAUCCCGAGGCUCAACCUCGGGUCUGCAGUCGAUACGGGCGGACUUGAGUACUGCAGGGGAGACUGGAAUUCCUGGUGUAGCGGUGAAAUGCGCAGAUAUCAGGAGGAACACCGGUGGCGAAGGCGGGUCUCUGGGCCGAUACUGACGCUGAGGAGCGAAAGCGUGGGGAGCGAACAGG